rnacentral:rRNA from 1 species
GACAGAGGGUGCAAACGUUGCUCGGAAUCACUGGGCGUAAAGGGCGUUGUAGGCGGGACGGUAAGUCGGGGCGUGAAAUCCCUAGGCUCAACCUAGGAACUGCACUCGAAACUACCAUUCUUGGAGUGUCGGAGAGGAAAGCGGAAUUCCUGGUGUAGAGGUGAAAUCGUAGAUAGUCAGGAGGAACACCAGUGGCGAAGGCGGCUUUCUGGACGAUAACUGACGCUGAGACGCGAAAGCGUGGGGAGCAAACAGG